rnacentral:piRNA from 1 species
AACCAACACAAGAGCCUUACAGUGCCCAAA